rnacentral:rRNA from 1 species
UGGCGACCGGCGCGCGGGUGAGUAACGCGUAUCCAACCUGCCCUUUACUAUGGGACAGCCCGUCGAAAGGCGGAUUAAUACCGUAUGUUGUCAUGUUGAUGCAUAUUUUCAUGACCAAAGGCUUCGGCCGGUAAAGGAUGGGGAUGCGUCUGAUUAGCUUGCCGGCGGGGUAACGGCCCACCGGGGCGACGAUCAGUAGGGGUUCUGAGAGGAAGGUCCCCCACAUUGGAACUGAGACACGGUCCAAACUCCUACGGGAGGCAGCAG